CAUUAGGGAACUAUUCGUGGACAGUUGUACAACUGCUAUCCACACUUCAUAGAUACAGAUAUUGAGGCUCAGAAAGGACUUAACAGAAAAACAAGGAAAAACGGAUGCUGCAACAGUCCCUGGAAGCAGCUUUCCCGGCUGACCUCAUACAUCUUCUUUUAGAUCUGCUUCUACCGUGACCAGCACAGCUCUCCAGGUUUCAAGGUUCUCUUUGCUCUGAGAUCUGGAAUUGAGUGAACAACAGUGUGCUGAGACCUCCAGAGCGUCUUUAUGAUUCUAUGUACAGGAGAUGAGUCAUUGAAAAUGGAAAACAGUACCCGUGUCACCUGCAUGGUGCAUGGUGUUAACCUCCUCUGCCGCCGUGAGUUCAUACAGACAGCAUAAUGAGGUGGGAUACAGAAAAGCUUUAUCCAGAAUAAAACGUGACCCUCAGUGAUAGAAGAACAACCCAAGAACACAUUUCCACGGACACAUGAUUGCCUCUGCUCUCUACUUAAAGAUCAUGAGCCCGCUUUGCCAUAGAAGCUUGGA
rnacentral:lncRNA from 1 species